GAUGAACGCUGGCGGCGUGCCUAAUACAUGCAAGUCGAGCGAACAGACGAGGAGCUUGCUCCUCUGACGUUAGCGGCGGACGGGUGAGUAACACGUGGAUAACCUACCUAUAAGACUGGGAUAACUUCGGGAAACCGGAGCUAAUACCGGAUAAUAUAUUGAACCGCAUGGUUCAAUAGUGAAAGACGGUUUUGCUGUCACUUAUAGAUGGAUCCGCGCCGCAUUAGCUAGUUGGUAAGGUAACGGCUUACCAAGGCAACGAUGCGUAGCCGACCUGAGAGGGUGGACCGCCACACUUGGACCUGGACCCCGGCCCAACCCCUUCCGGAGGCAGCCAUUGGGGAACUUCCGCCAUUGGCCGAAACCUUGCCGGGCAACCGCGGCGUGGGUAUGAAAGGCUUCCGAUCCGUAAACCUCUGUUAUUGGGAAAGACCAAAUUUGAAAGUACUAAUGACGUCUUUACGGGUCCCAAUCCAAAAGGCCCCGCCUACCUCCGU
rnacentral:rRNA from 1 species